rnacentral:rRNA from 1 species
UACGUAGGGUGCAAGCGUUGUCCGGAAUUAUUGGGCGUAAAGAGCUCGUAGGCGGCUUGUCGCGUCGUCCGUGAAAACCUGCAGCUCAACUGCAGGCUUGCGGUCGAUACGGGCAGGCUAGAGUUCGGUAGGGGAGACUGGAAUUCCUGGUGUAGCGGUGAAAUGCGCAGAUAUCAGGAGGAACACCGGUGGCGAAGGUGGGUCUCUGGGCCGAUACUGACGCUGAGGAGCGAAAGCGUGGGGAGCGAACAGG